CCUACGGGGGGCUGCAGUGGGGAAUAUUGGACAAUGGGGGGAACCCUGAUCCAGCCAUGCCGCGUGUGUGAAGAAGGCCCUCGGGUUGUAAAGCACUUUCAGUGAGGAAGAACGCCUGGUGGUUAAUACCCAUCAGGAAAGACAUCACUCACAGAAGAAGCACCGGCUAACUCCGUGCCAGCAGCCGCGGUAAUACGGAGGGUGCGAGCGUUAAUCGGAAUUACUGGGCGUAAAGCGCGCGUAGGUGGCUUGAUAAGCCGGUUGUGAAAGCCCCGGGCUCAACCUGGGAACGGCAUCCGGAACUGUCAAGCUAGAGUGCAGGAGAGGAAGGUAGAAUUCCCGGUGUAGCGGUGAAAUGCGUAGAGAUCGGGAGGAAUACCAGUGGCGAAGGCGGCCUUCUGGACUGACACUGACACUGAGGUGCGAAAGCGUGGGUAGCAAACAGGAUUAGAUACCCCUGCAGUC
rnacentral:rRNA from 1 species